rnacentral:rRNA from 1 species
GCACAAGCGGUGGAGCAUGUGGUUUAAUUCGAAGCAACGCGAAGAACCUUACCAGGUCUUGACAUCCCGAUGCUAUUUCUAGAGAUAGAAAGUUACUUCGGUACAUCGGUGACAGGUGGUGCAUGGUUGUCGUCAGCUCGUGUCGUGAGAUGUUGGGUUAAGUCCCCGCAACGAGCGCAACCCCUAUUGUUAGUUGCCAUCAUUCAGUUGGGCACUCUAGCGAGACUGCCGGUAAUAAACCGGAGGAAGGUGGGGAUGACGUCAAAUCAUCAUGCCCCUUAUGACCUGGGCUACACACGUGCUACAAUGGUUGGUACAACGAGUUGCGAGUCGGUGACGGCGAGCUAAUCUCUUAAAGCCAAUCUCAGUUCGGAUUGUAGGCUGCAACUCGCCUACAUGAAGUCGGAAUCGCUAGUAAUCGCGGAUCAGCACGCCGCGGUGAAUACGUUCCCGGGCCUU